AGGAUUGAACCAGUGCUCUACGUCAGUGCUCUACCACUGGGCUCUAACCCUAGCCUGAUGUUUUCACUUUUAAAGAUGAGAGAACAGAAGGCCCUCGGCCACCCAGUACCUUGAUGGCAGUGUGGGCCGGGACGGCAGACAGCUGGAUGUCUACUUAGAAUUCUCUUCAACUGCAUGAAUCAUGGUUGCUCUCUCAAGCUUCAUACUCUCUAAUUUGACUAUCAGAACUACAUCCUGGAGGAUCAUUUGGGCCAUGUGGAUUCUGUCUUGAUCACUCCAUUGAAGUGUCACCCUUUUUGCCUUGACCGAGGUUUGGCUGUGCCUAAAAUUCUAGAGCUGCUGUGAUUUCUCUGCGAGCAGUCGUAGUCUAGGUUGUACCAUGGUAGGAGUCCACACAUGAGAUUCCUCCUCAUUCCAGUGGCCCCCAGGACCACGCGACAUAUGGACUACCAGGACGCAUGCUCUUCUCUAACCUCCUGCCAGAGAAUCCCUGGCAGAGAGCAAGGAAAAAAAACUCACUUUCCCCAGCUGUCAGAGGGUCCUCUGUGCAUGCCAUGCUUAAUAAAGGCAAUAAAAAGGCAAGACUAUGAAGAAGAAAGAGGCUUACCAAGGAAUGAAGGCUCUUUAUUUGCUCUUCUUUCAUGCUACUCUUUCGAAUCCACUGGCAUUUCAACCUGUAAGUGGUGAGUGGCAGGCUGUAACAGAAGAGCAAGUGGGGGGCAGAUGGUUUAGGAAAUGAAUUUGCAAUGUCCCCAGUGUUGUUGUACUCUUUUGUUAGAAACUCACUUAUUUUUAGCUAGUUCUCAAAAAAGCAGAACUGCUUCUUGGUCUUUGAGGGCCAGCCAACAUGGUAUGGCAGCUACUUGGGGUCGGGGCUCCGGGGCUCUGUGUGGAUCUCUUUGAUGGGUGGCGCCCAGCUGAUGUGCAUAUUUUGCCUUUUGAGUACACAACUGGGCACACUGUGGGCACCAAAUAAAUAAAGAUUCCUUUAUAAA